UACGAAGGGUGCAAGCGUUACUCGGAAUUACUGGGCGUAAAGGGUGCGUAGGUGGUUUGUUAAGUCUGCCGUGAAAUCCCCAGGCUUAACCUGGGAACUGCGUCGGAUACUGGAUGGCUUGAAUCCGGGAGAGGGAUGCGGAAUUCCAGGUGUAGCGGUGAAAUGCGUAGAUAUCUGGAGGAACACCGGUGGCGAAGGCGGCAUCCUGGACCGGCAUUGACGCUGAGGAGCGAAAGCCAGGGGAGCAAACGGG
rnacentral:rRNA from 1 species